rnacentral:lncRNA from 1 species
GAACUCGCAAUUAGGGUAACAGAGAUUUACUUAUAGUAAUAAUGAACAAAUUUAUACACUUCACAAGAUAACCAGGUUUCGGAAUACGUCUUUUACAUUGAUAACCAACAUUCAGGAAAGUAUGGGACUUUCCUGGGGAAACAUUAAACAUAACGACGUUAAUAGGAUUAUAUCUUUUACAUCUUUUACAUACGAUAACAUACAAUUAGGAAGGUAUGCUUGUUUUAGUGUGUGUGUUUCACAUUUUAUAUGCUUUUAAUACUGAUUAAUACAACUGAUAACCAUUCAAACAUGCAGAUCACGUAAACAUUUAAUUGCGAAAUGGGUUUUAUAACUGUUAUGUUUCAUAUAUUUCACAAUGGUUUUCCACAUUUUAUCAGUUAAAUGCAUGACAUUAGAACACAUGAAAAAUACAACUUGUACACUGUUUGUCCUCGGUAACACUCCACAGAGAUACACGAGUGGAGGACUAUCAUAUUAUUACUAGUAAAUUUGUUAUUCUUAUAUGAUUGGAGACACGUCCUCGGCGAACACUCCACAGAGAUACGCGAGUCGAGGACUACACCCGUAACCAGAAUCUCUGGGAUUUAGAGAGCAUGACUUGAGUGUAUAGAUCUAUACGGGGUUGACUACCCCACACCUGGCUGCUAGCUACAGUCGAACCGAAAUUGUUCAAGGGUGACGAAAGUCAUAAAGAUGUGGACUACUUAUUGCCACAGGUUUAGUCUAUCAUACGAUUAUGGAACUCGCAAUUAGGGUAACAGAGAUUUACUUAUAGUAAUAAUGAACAAAUUUAUACACUUCACAAGAUAACCAGGUUUCGGAAUACAUCUUUUACAUUGAUAACCAACAUUCAGGAAAGUAUGGGACUUUCCUGGGGAAACAUUGAACAUAACCACGUUAACAGGAAUAUAUCUUUUACAUCUUUUACAUACGGUAACAUACAAUUAGGAAGGUAUGGGACCUUCCUGGGGAACAUUUACAUAACUAGAAAAGUGUAACAAACUGGAUAACCUUACAUCUUUUACAAUUGGUAACUUACCAUCAGGAAACUAUGGGACUUUCCUGGGAAUCCAUUGGUACAUAACCAGAUAAGUAUAACAAAACAUAUAACCUAAAUGUACAUUUUUCACAAGGGUAAACGUGUUUUAAUGUACAACUUUACUUUACAUAACGUGAAACAACAACCAACCUUUUUAAGAAAUGUGGGAUUUUCUUGGCGUGUGUUAC